GAAAAUCACAUUCACCUCCAAAUAUACGCUAUGCCUAUUUACACGUUCACACAGUCACCUCCUAAAAAACCCAAAAUCUAACGAUUCAAGCGUCGUUCAACCCUAAAUCACAACACCGUCGUACACAAUACGACUUCAAUUCCAUCAAUAAACCUUCCAAAUAAAUAAACAUCGGUGACUAGGGUUUCGAUUUUGUCCUUGAUUGCGACGAAGAAGAAAGUGUCUGAAAUACCUUUGGGUUCAAAUUUCUUGCAAUUACCACCAAUGUUAUCACUGAUGCUUGGACAAUUUUCUUUAAUGAGUUGCUUAUUUUACCAAUUCUGAAGAACACAUUGAGGUAUCCAUGCUUGAGGUUGCAAUUUGGUGGAGUUCCUAAAGGGGCUGGAUAUCGAGUACCAUAUGUCCGAAAUCAUUCUUGGCGGAAUGGUGUUGGUAGGAAUAAUGGGCCCUACACUAGGUCGACCCCUCGUUUUCCAUCUCCCACGCUUACUGCUCAAAGAUUCAUAAGGGAGCAACAGAGUAUCUUGCUUCAUUGCAAGCUGACAGAGAAAAAGAUUUGCUAGAGCAGGCAGCUAGAGAAGCUGCUAUGGAAGAAGAAAAGACAAAAUUGGAACAAGAAAAUUGGAUAACUCUAUACUAGACACAUUUUGUUUUAUUUUCUUCUGUAUGAUUUAUCGAUGUUGUUAUAUCUUUUCGUGACACCAGAGUGGGCAUAAAAGCCGUUUAUCUCCUAGGUAUGGAACUCCAUCAAUUGGUUUAUGUUCAUUCUCUAAAUUCGUCGGUUUAUAGGUAUUAAUUUUCAUUUCAAUUGUUGGAGAUUUUGGAAUUAUGCCAAAGCAGUGUAGCAUAUCAACUGCCAAAUCCUUGGACAAUGGGUAUUCUCGUUUUACUAGUUGAAGUUUAUUCAAUGCCAAAUCUCAAAGCAAAUCUCACGUUUGAAAUAGAAGUGUGAAAACUUGAAAGAGUAAUAGAAUUGCAAUGGUAAUGGUAUCUACUAUAUAUAUGUAUGCUUAUGUUGGCUUGACUUUUCAGGUAUUGUUCAAGAAUCUAAAUGUAGAUAUAAAGGAAGUCAAGCCAACUACUCUUAUUAAAGAUAAGUCUAGGAUGACCGAAGGAAACCCUGAUUUUUCUCAACCAAAGAUUGUUGAAGAAGUUAAAUAUACAGUGAGAAGUGCGGCAAAUCAAGUUGUAUUUCCGGCUGACGUUGCAUGUCCAUCUUAUCAGGUUGAUCUUUCACAAAUAGUAUACCAGGCUUGUUAACUUAAGACUUUUUUUUACAUUUUUAAUCUAUUUUACUUUACAAGUAUGGUCAUUGCAUUUGCAGCCGAUCGUACCAGCCUGAAAUAUUCCUGAUUUCCAAUCGGUUCUAAAGACGCAUGUCCUUGGGUUCGACCUUCUCCAUCCUCAGUUCAAAUAGAAAGCUAUAAUAAAUUUUUGUAUGACUUAAUGAUAGGUCUUAUUAUUUUCUUUUGCAGUUUGCUUCCGAUGGCUAUGAAUAAGGCUAUUGAAGAACUAGUUUCUACCGUUGUAGAGAGGAGUGUUUCUAUAGCAUCUCAAACAACAAUUGAUCUUGUGUUAAAGGUGUUAUUUAUGUUUAGUUAGUUCCUUAUAUGGUAAAGAAUUCACAUUUUUAUAAAUAUUUAUUGCACGAUUUUUACACAAAUUGACAGGAGUAUAUUAACGACCCGGAUGAGAUCUAUAUCGACAAUGUAAAAAGUUUGAUGGUUGCUUCCCUAGCUGGAAGUCUGUCUUCUGUCACCUGCAAGGUUUCGUGUUAAAUGUUUAAUUAUAUAAUGUAUGGUUAUAUAAUUCUAAAGUUAUAAAAUAGUUUUAUUACUAUGAUCCCCCUUUGUUGGAGGAACCACUGCGUGUUUUCACGGCAUCUUCAAGAAAUUCACUUGGAACAUUCAAACCCUUUGUGGAGUUUCUUAGAUGCCAUGAAAACACGCAGUGGUUCCUACAACAAAGGGGGAUCACAGUCAAUAAAACUAUCUUAUAACUUUAGAAUUAUAUAACCAAACAUUAUAUAAUUAAACAUUUAACACGAAACCUUGCAGGUGACAGAAGACAGAUUUCCAGCUAGGGAAGCAACCAUCAAACUUGAUACAUUGUCGAUAUAGAUCUCAUAUGGGUCGUUAAUAUACUCCCGUCAAUUUCUAUAAAAAAAACUUCAAUAAAUAUUUAUAAAAAUGUGAAGUCUUUACCAUAUAAGGAACUAACUAAACAUAAAUAACACCUUUAACACAAGCUCAAUUGCUGUUUGAGAUGCUAUAGAAACACUCCUCUCUACAAUGGUAGAAACUAGUUCUUCAAUAGCCUUAUUCAUAGACAUCGGAAGCAACCUGCAAGAGAAAAUAAUAAGAACUAUCAUUAAGUUAUUCAAAAAUUAAUUAUAGCUUUCUAUUUGAACUGAGAAUGGAAAAGGUUGAACCCAAGGACAUGAGUCUUUAGAACCGAUUGGAAAUCAGGAAUAUUUGAGGCUGGUACGGUCGGCUGCAAAUGCAAUGACCAUACUUGUAAAGUAAAAUAGCAUAAAAAAUGUAAAAAAAAUCUUAAGUUAACAAGCCUGGUAUACUAUUUGUGAAAGAUCAACCAGAUAAGAUGGACCUGCAACGUCAGCCGGUAAUACAACUUGAUUUACCGCACUUCUCACUGUAGAUUUAACUUCUUCAACAAUCUUUGGUUGAGAAAACUCAGGGUUUCCUUCGGACAUCCUAGACUUGUCUUUAAGAAGAGUUGUUAGCUUGACUUCCUUUAUAUCUACAUUUAGAUUGUUGAACAGUACCUGAAAAUUCAAGCCAACAUAAGCAUACAUAUAUAUAGUAGAUACCAUUACCAUUGCAAUUACUAUUACUCUUUCAAGUUUUCACACUUCUAUUUCAAACGUGAGAUUUGCUUUGAGAUUUGGCAUUGAAUAAACUUCAACUAGUAAAACGAGAAUAGGCAUUGUCCAAGGAUUUGGCAGUUGAUACGCUACACAGCUUUGGCAUAAUUCCAAAAUCUACAAUAAUUGAAAUGAAAAUUAAUAUCUAUAAACCGACGAAUUUAGAGAAUGAUCAUAAACCAAUUGAUGGAGGUCCAUACCUUGGAGAUAAACGGCUUUUAUGCCCACAGAAACUCUUUUUUUUUCUCUGUCAGCUUGCAAUGAAGCAAGAUAUUCUUCAUUCUACAGAAA